CACUCCUGCGGGAGGCAGCAGUGGGGAAUUUUGGACAAUGGGCGAAAGCCUGAUCCAGCCAUGCCGCGUGCAGGAUGAAGGCCUUCGGGUUGUAAACUGCUUUUGUACGGAACGAAACGGCCUUUUCUAAUAAAGAGGGCUAAUGACGGUACCGUAAGAAUAAGCACCGGCUAACUACGUGCCAGCAGCCGCGGUAAUACGUAGGGUGCAAGCGUUAAUCGGAAUUACUGGGCGUAAAGCGUGCGCAGGCGGUUAUGUAAGACAGUUGUGAAAUCCCCGGGCUCAACCUGGGAACUGCAUCUGUGACUGCAUAGCUAGAGUACGGUAGAGGGGGAUGGAAUUCCGCGUGUAGCAGUGAAAUGCGUAGAUAUGCGGAGGAACACCGAUGGCGAAGGCAAUCCCCUGGACCUGUACUGACGCUCAUGCACGAAAGCGUGGGGAGCAAACAGGAUUAGAUACCCCUGUAGUCCC
rnacentral:rRNA from 1 species